UACGGGGGGGGCAAGCGUUGUUCGGAAUUACUGGGCGUAAAGGGCUCGUAGGCGGCCAACUAAGUCGGAUGUGAAAUCCCCAGGCUCAACCUGGGAACUGCAUCCGAUACUGGAUGGCUUGAAUCCGGGAGAGGGAUGCAGAAUUCCAGGUGUAGCGGUGAAAUGCGUAGAUAUCUGGAGGAAUACCGGUGGCGAAGGCGGCAUCCUGGACCGGCAUUGACGCUGAGGAGCGAAAGCUAGGGGAGCAAGCGGG
rnacentral:rRNA from 1 species